UACGGAGGAUGCAAGCGUUAUCCGGAAUUAUUGGGCGUAAAGCGUCCGCAGGUGGCACUUCAAGUCUGUCGUCAAAGACCGGGGCUUAACCCUGGAAAGGCGAUGGAAACUGAAAGGCUAGAGAGAGGUAGGGGUAGAGGGAAUUCCCAGUGUAGCGGUGAAAUGCGUAGAGAUUGGGAAGAACAUCGGUGGCGAAAGCGCUCUACUGGAUCUCAUCUGACACUCAGGGACGAAAGCUAGGGGAGCGAAUGGG
rnacentral:rRNA from 1 species